rnacentral:misc_RNA from 1 species
GAGGUAGUAGGUUGUAUAGUA